rnacentral:rRNA from 1 species
UUCCAAGCGUUAUCCGGAUUUAUUGGGCGUAAAGCGAGCGCAGACGGUUUUUUAAGUCCGAAGUGAAAGCCCACAGCUUAACUGUGGAAGUGCUUUGGAAACUGGAUGACUUGAGUGCAGUAGAGGAGAGUGGAAUUCCAUGUGUAGCGGUGAAAUGCGUAGAUAUAUGGAGGAACACCAGUGGCGAAGGCGGCUCUCUGGACUGUAACUGACGUUGAGGCUCGAAAGUGUGGGUAGCA